AUUGAAUUAGCGACAACGCUUGGAAUUGAAGUGCUAAAUUAAAAAUGGCACUUUUCUGGCACUUUUUGAGUGAAAAAAGGUGAUAAAAUGUUAUUAGUGAGAAGUGAAGAUGAUUACAAAAAUAAAUCUUAUAUUGAGUCUGCGCUCCACUUCUCAUUUAUAAGUAAUACAUUGAGCAUACUUAUU
rnacentral:sRNA from 1 species